rnacentral:lncRNA from 1 species
GGCAAGAGUUCCCCACUACCAAGUAAGCUCUUUCUACUUGUUCACCUGGAUGAAAACUACCUGGCUUUGUUUGGCUACUUUUUUUAUUGGCUAGUGUGAUUUUAUAUCUCAGGCUAGACUCGCUUGAGCUGUCUUACAUUAGUGGGGCUAUAUGUGAAUCGCAGAGGUCUGUAAAUUAAGGCAAUAGGCGGGCACAUUUGAAAUGCAGCAGUAGAGAGCUCCUAUAGAAAAUCCAAAAUUCAAUAAAAGGUCAUAAUGGUCGGAAGCUGUUCACUACUUCAGAACCAUCCAGAAGGCAAGAGAAAAAAGCACCUAAGGUCAGGUGUUUCUUAGGAGUUCAAUAUGUUUCAUGUGUGUUUUUGCAAAUCUUUUUUCUUCACUGGUCCUGCACGCUUGAUAAAAAGGAUCUGGUGAUUACGAGACAAGACCCGCUAGGGAUUGAUUCACGGAUGAGGGACCAAAGCGUGUUUCAACUGAUAUUAACACGCCCGGGGUCAGUUCAGUAAAGUAAUACCUUUUUUCCUGGUCGGAGACUCGCAAAACAAGUUAUCAAAAAGAUGUGAGAAAUCCAAACCAAUCUUCUCCUACGGCUGUAGAACCACAGGAAUAAGAUGCUUCACGGCAUCGAUCCGGACCAGGAUGCUAUGAUACUUGGUUGUGGGAUGGACCAUACCCAGCGUAGUGAAAGCGGAUCCCAGAUAAAAAGGAAUGCUUGGCUAUCCUGCUAGCAGUUGAGUAAGAUAUCCCGCCUUUAGAUUCAACCUCAACUAUGUUACAACCUCGGAUCGUUGGCAACGAACAUUAUGAAACUGCGCAAAGAGUUAAGCAAACUUUACAACGUUACAAAGAACUUCAGGACAUUAUCGCAAUUCUUGGGUUGGAUGAAUUAUCGGAGGAGGAUCGUUUAACUGUAGCAAGAGCACGAAAAAUUGAGCGCUUCCUAUCAUCUAGGAUCCACUCCCAUAUGCACAGUCUACUCAACUGAACAACACGUCCAGUCUACAAAUGACUCCAAGAUCCCUCCAUUUGUCUCUAUCUAUUGGUGGGGAGGUAUAUGAAAGAAGGGAACGAAUAAGUGGAUUGAGGAGUAAGAAAUCUCACAAAUAGUAGGUUUUACCGGACUAGAACAAACGAAUUAGCUUGUUUUAACUAAAAAGCACAGUUGAGCAGGAACGAAGUGUGAACAUAGGCACAAAAACAACGUUUUGGUGAUCCUGUGUAGGGGAGGAAAUAGACUUUAAAAAGGGCGGAAAUCGCUAUGUACUUUCUUCUUCUUGCCGAAUGGACAGUAGGAAACCACAGCUCACUGGGAUUGAACUCUAUGUUUCAAUUGAGGCUAACGGAACCCAGGUUUCCUAUUGACAUUUGAAUAGAAUGAUUCAUUCUGGAAAAAAAGGACUCUCUAUUCUGUCAUUGUACAGGCGCCUAUGACUCAUUUCUGAAAUGCCAUUAACGAAAUGAUUUCACUUUUUGAGGAUCCUUGUUUAUACACUCCGGAAUAGAAGAAAGGGCUGCACCGACCCCCGCAGAGUUACUCGGGGCCGGCGGCGGAGUAGUACCUGACUGGGUCGAGCAGGCGCCCUCCUCAGGGCUGAGUGGCACAAGAAACGAAAGGCUUGUUAGAUUACCAAUACUAUGUUAGCAUUAUCAAGACUGCAAUCUAUCACAAUUUUUAGAUGCUCUAUAAUUAUAGAUACCAAGAAAACAUGAUUAUGUGUAAAUUGAGGACUUGGUCCAGAAGUGAGAAAAUAGGUGUGAAAUUCCAGCUACCAAUUCUGGAAUUUCUUCUCGAGACAUCCCCGUCAGUCAACUUCUCUUCGGGAUGGGUCGUUGGUUUUUGUGGAGAUAAUGUGUCAGCCAUGGUAGAAGUAGCUCCCUGAGUAGGCAUGAGCGCCCGCCUAGAUGAAGGGAUUUUCUCAUCUUGAGGUGUCGGGAGGAGUAAAGGAGAUUGACUCUUCUCUGUCAUUAGCCUUUUUAUUGACAUUAGCUCUUUAUAUAGUAAUUUAUUUUUUGAGUAUCGUAUCGGUAGGCAUAGAUCAUUGGUAUUGGAUAUAUCGUUAGGUUGUGCUGAGUCAAAUCAGCUCCGCUGAUUUUUUUUCCGUUGCAGAAAAGAGACCCCUUACCCUUUUUUUAGAAAAUGAUGAAUAUGAAGUAGCGAAGGUGCCAGGGGCAGGGCUUUUUUGUAGUAAUAGUGGGCGGGUCUCAUGGGAUUUCAUCUAUGCCGGCCGUCGGAAUCAAACGAGGGUCGAAGGACCAUUCGAUUCAUUAAGGGGGACGACCCAUUUGUAAGGCGGGGGCCCUGAUGGACGACAUCCCCCGGCCUCGAUUCUUUUGCAUAGUCUGGGGGCCGGCCACAGCAGAGCUGCGGGGCAUAGCGGCACCCUCGCCUGGCGCCAUUCUCGGACCUAGCAGCAGAUGGGCGGGCCGGGCCUGAAUGAAGAGCGGACCAAACUCUUCUUUGUUUCAGCUGAUAUGCGUCAUUUCUCCUCAUCCUUGUCUCUAUUUGUUAAUUGCUCGCUACCCGUAGUGGGCCUUGAGUAGGAUUUAAGCACGGGUUUCGAACUGAAGAUCGAAUCAAGCGGAGUCUGGAUUCCUAUGUUCGUACCAACUCAAAUGAUUGAUGAAUUGGAUCUUGAGUAUGCUCACUUCGCUACUCAGCAAGGGUGAAAGAAUGACAAAGAGACUGACAUCACAGAGGAUGGGAAGGACCCAAUCGCCUGCCUCUUUCUUGGUCCACCCCCUGGUGGGUACUUUUUAGCUCACAACACGAGAUAGGCAGAUAUGUGACAUAGUCUCAUUGCUUUCAUUGACAACAAGACUCUCUUCCUGAUUGGUCUGUGCAGGAUCUCCUUCCCUAUGAGACUCUUGCUUCCCUAAGGGUAAUGAUCAUACGUCUGUAAUGCAUUGUAUGUCAUUGAUUCUUUCCCAAUAAAUGAAAACUUUUUCUGUAAAUACUGCGUGCUUAUUUUUUAGAGAGAUUGACUUUUAUUUUUGACCAGUGUGGGGUUCUGCCAUGGAUAUUCGGUCCACUCCAGAAUUCCAUUCAUUUUGCAAACGUAACUCGAUUGACUCAAUUCACAAACGGCAAGGAAGUCAAAAGUUACGCUUACAGGUCGUACGACAAUUGCUUCUGCACAAAAAAAGGUCUUAUUAUUUAUUCAAAGAACUGAACAAUGUUGUUUGAAUCCACCUAGUUCUUGCUUACUAUCUGAAUUAACUGAUGGGACAUCUUUCUUGGUCGUAGUAAACCUUUGAAAAGGUCAUAUCCAAAUUUUACAUUAUAAAAAACCCUGUGCUCAUAAAAAGUUAUGUAAACCCACAUACAUAUACAUAAUAGUAAAGGAAUAAAAAAAGGAUAAAAGGUACUGUACGUAGGCGCUGCUCUAUUGCCAAGGGUAAAGAGCUCUUUUAUAUAUAGCGAAGACCUUCCAUUUUCUACGUGAAAGCGUAAUCUGUUUCCCGAAAAGCGGAAGGGUAAAGAAAGGCAGGAGCUGCAGACCACGAAUUGUAUGUGCCAAUUGCCAUUUAGCGAAUAAGCCUGUGGAUAUUGAAGUUCCCCAAGCAGUGCUUCCCGAUACUGUAUUUGAAGCAGUUCUUCGCACUAGUCCUGCUAGCCUUCUUUCGGGCAGGAAGCAGGCCGGGCCCGACGGGCGGGCAUCUCCCACUACGCAAGCAGCAUGGUUCGCCACGGAUAAAAAAGAUUUUGGAUAUAGUUUUCCUUGCGACGGCCCUGGUCGCGGCGGUACUUGUGAUAUUUCUGCUUGGAGAGCAUGUUAUGAGUGUCUACGUGGUGGACUUGAUUUUACCAAAGAUGAUGAAAACGUAAACUCACAACCAUUUAUGCGUUGGAGGGACCGUUUUGUGUUUUGUGCCGAAGCUAUUUAUAAAGCACAGGCCGAAACCGGUGAAAUUAAGGGGCAUUACUUGAAUGCGACUGCAGGUACAUGCGAAGAAAUGAUUAAGAGAGCUGUAUUUGCGAGGGAAUUAGGGGUUCCUAUUGUAAUGCAUGACUACUUAACCGGGGGAUUCACCGCAAAUACUAGUUUGGCUCAUUAUUGCCGCGAUCCUCCUCCGAUAAUUCAUCCAACCCAAGAAUUGCGAAGACCACACUCAGGAUGUAUAGCAAGGGUUCGUAUUCGGGUCACAACACUUCCACCCUUUUCGCUCAUUAUCAUAUCCAACGAAUAUACAUCGGAUAGCUUUCUUGUCGAAUUUACUUCGUAGAUGACGGGGCACAAACACAUAGCAUACACAACCAAAAAAACGAAAGUGACUUCAUAGUCUACUUGGUAAGGGGGUCGACGAUUCCAUAGCUUCUCGAAUGGUGAGAUUCAGCUUUAAGGGAGGAAGGAAAUUAAAAGGAAGGAGAGUUGGGAACCAACGGCAAAGAAAGUAUCAUGUUGCUCCUCGGAAAACGCGUAUAGUAGUCUCAUUUCACUCUUUUCCACCCUAUCCUUAUAUAUUUCAUUCCCGCCAUUGACAGCAACUCACUCUUUUCGAACUGCACUUUGAAAGCCAAAGCCAAGAAAGACCAUAUCAACUACUCUCCAAAUUGCAGGAUAAGGACCCAAGUAAGCCUCGCUCACGGGUAUCUGAGCAAUUCUUCCUGUUGCUUUUACAAAACUGCCCUCUUGUAUCAUCAACCCAUCGCCCAUUAAUACAAUCCCAACAUUUUUGGAUUCUACUUUUUUUUAGCCUUAUUUAGUUUGGUUGCCUACGCUUGCUCCCCAGCGCGCUACGGCAACACCCCCUGCUUGCUUCUUUCUGUUCGACGCGGAGCUCGCAGCCUCCCCACCCUUGCUUAGCGUUCCACUUGUGAUCCUGGAGGAUUUGGAGAAAUGCGCCCGACCAUGAAGAAUGGAUUUUUUCUUAUCUUUCAUGUGAACGGCCCUAUCUUGUAAAGAAUGGUUUUUCGUGCUAUAGACCACGUUGAGAAAGACCAACCAACAACACAAAUAAGGGGUUCUGCCAUGGAUAUUCGGUCCACUCCAGAAUUCCAUUCAUUUUGCAAACGUAACUCGAUUGACUCAAUUCACAAACGGCAAGGAAGUCAAAAGUUACGCUUAUAGGUCGUACCGAACCUGGUUCAACAAGUCGAAAGUCAUAGGAACUUAGAGAUUCGGUUUCUUAUGUAACUCGCUUGCUAGAAACAAGUCUUGGAUGCCACAACUCCACACGGCCCAGACUCCUACGGGAGGCAGCAGUGGGGAAUUUUCCGCAAUGGGCGAAAGCCGUAAUGAUUAUAACAAACUGCAGACUCCUUGCCUUAUUUUCGGGAUGAGUGAUACAUCUGGCGAGUGCCGGUGAAGAACGCAAGCAAAGCAGGAGCUCGGGCAUUGAACUAUUCCAUCAAGCAAGAGAAAGGAGGCGUCGGGAAAGAAUAGUGGGUAUGUGGUCGAUAAGUAAGCCCCCCGGACGUAGCCACUUUAAUGAGUGGGUGGUGAACCGGGAAAAAAAAGGAAGGACGCUUGGGAUGGAAGGGUGCGCUCGGGACUCCCUUCACUGGUUUGAUUCCGGGCAAUUCCACUUCUGGAACCACAGAUAUAGACAUUGAAAUGGUGAGCCCUUAAUUAGGAAUUUCAUAGAUAGAGAAGGACGGGAAAAAAGAGAGAGACUGACUAACUACCCGGAUCAAUGCUGAUUGACGACUGAAUAAAUAGCCGGAAGCAACAACUGCACGAGAGAGAAAGAGCGGAUCCAACUAAGGAAAUGCAGUGACGAGAACUUAUAAUCGGGGGCAGAAAAACUUCAAUCUGUAGCGCUACUUCCAGAGUUACCAAAACUCGAAGUAUCUAUACUGCGGCUGACAGCGAAUUAUUUUUAGCUGUCCUGCCUUUCCUUUCGGAAAUGCCAGAACAGGUAGUUUCAACUGUGGAGCCCUUCCUUUCUACAAUCCCGGAACAGGUAGUUCCAACCUACAUUCCACAAAUGCAAAAUUUUAUAGGUGAAACUACUACCAGUCUACCCCAGCUACAAGGGGAGGCUGGCCCGAGUAACUCUACAGGGGGUGGGGCUGCCGCUGGUGAAUGGAAGCCCCCGCCGCAAAAAAGAAGCGGCUCUUCCCACGGCUUUGUCACCAUUGACUCUAUUUAUUAUUAUGGUAAAUCAUUGUAUCAAGAUGUCAAUCUUAGAUCUUAUUUCAGUUCGAUACGUCCACGCCUAGCUCUAAAAUGGUUUCAACCUUUCCUCGACCGGAAGCAUUAUGAUAGUUUUCUUCGGCUAGAAAAGGAAGACUCAUAGUCGCAGCCGGCCAAUGGCUAGAACAAGUCAGUUCAAGCUGCUUCGCACUACCGUUGCUAACGGAUUCAAGUUGUCUGCAGUCGACACAAGCUUGCCGCUGCUGCCGCAAAUCAACUCAAGCUCCUCGUUCCAUCAUGAAAGAGUAAAGCCCCAAAAUGGGUACACAGCUAAACAUGAGAGCAAGCAGACUAUUAUACGUGUAACUAAGCCUUCAAAAUGGGGGUGUGCAUGUAACUUAGCCGUCAUAGAGCGGGUUCGCUUGUAAAUAGGCCCAGACCAGCGCCUCUUUGUUCUACAUGGCAUCUCGAUUCUUCAAGGCUGCAUAUGGACCAGAAAAAGCUCUAGGACUUUCGGAGGAGAAUGGCUUGUUAGCACGAUGGUUUGAAGGACUUGUUUAAGAAACAUGGAAUGGAUUCGGGAUGAACCUAAGCUAAUUGCCUUGAUUACUUAUCAAAUCAAAUUCACAUUCUUAAAUCACUUUCUCUCCCGUACUGAUCCUCCUUGCCUUUCCUUCCUUGUCCAGUAAGGUAUGAAGCACUAGCUCAACCACAGGCGUGCUCCCCUGUCCUUCCACCCUUCUCGGCAGGAGGGAUCAUAGCAGGGUUGAAUUCCAAUCAAUUUGAGUUACGAAACAAGGGAGCUGCUUCAUUUUAAUACAAAAAAAUAUUAAAGUAAAAUGAUUCAAUCUUUUUUUUGUAUUUUAAUAAAAGUCCUUCUUUAGGUAAUAACUAGGUAACGAAGUUAUUUCAUUAACUUUUUGACUUUAACCAACAAAACCUAUUCUUAUUUUUUGAUUGUUUCAAUGAGAAAAUUUUUGAAAAAUUAAGAAUUCUAGUAUUUUUUUUAUUCCUUCAGAAAUAGAUAAGAAUUAGUUUGGUGAAUCGGAAACUUUUUUCAAUUUUAUAGAAAAAUUGAAGUAAAAUUUUCAAGUAAAAAUUGCAAUUUCUUUUCUUAUGGAACAUACAUAUCAAUAUGCAUGGGUAAUCCCUCUUCUCCCACUUCCAGUUAUUAUGUCAAUGGGGUUUGGACUUUUUCUUGUUCCAACAGCAACAAAAAAUCUUCGUCGCAUAUGGGCUUUUCCUAGUGUUUUACUUUUAAGUAUAGCUAUGGUAUUCUCAGUCGCUCAUACAGCUUCCAGCCAGCAAGCAGUUAGCUUUCCUCUAAAAGUCAUGGAAGUGUGGAUAAAUCGACAUCAAACUCUAGUCGAUAGAAGGUUUUUUUUUGGUCUACCAAACCAAAUUCUUUUCUUAUUAAAGCCUUCUCGAAAGAAAAGGCCCCUAUGAAUACUAGUCCACUUGUAAUACGUAAUUCUUGGCUUGGGUCCCUACUUCUCAAGAAAAGAAAAGUAUCAGAUCAGGAAUAUCGUAUUUAUCUCUUCUAAUCUAGAUCCCACUUCCCUCCACUUCUUGCCUCACGCCCGUCAAACCUGACUCCACAUUAACGACUGUCCUUCCACCCAAUUCCCCGCAUCCUUGCAUCACAUCUCCAACCCCUGCCUCCACGCGAUCUUCCACAAUCGUACCCCCCACCUCUGAAGCUUGCAUAACCCCCGACGAACCUGUCUGCACCUGCGGGCCCGCGCUUACAUCAUUGGCAUCGCAUGAUUAAACAUCAGCACGAGCGAAUACGCUAGAGAUAUUAAAUAGUUAACCUAGCGCUAUUAGUUGAUAAGACGAGUGAAGCGGUACUCGCCCAGGGAUUUAGAGGGUCUUUAUUUAGCGAAACCUCCACCAGGCGGAAAAGAACCCAUCCGCACAACGCCGCCACAGUUCCCACACCCACCCGCAGUCUCGCGCGAAGCACUUUCAUCGCUUCGCUAACUGCUCGUUCAAAGGAAAGAUCGGAGGGCGAUCAACCCUUUUUUUCUUUCAUAUUCGAUUGGGUCCCGAUAAUAUUUGAUAUUCAUUCCCUUGCGCCUGCGCAUACGUUUUCUUGCUUUUCCAGCAUUUAUUCGUUUACUUUUUCGUAUCACUAAUUCAGGAAAGUCCCUCUGUGGAGUAGCGAAAUACAUAAAUUAUCUAUCUCAAGUACGUCUCCAACUUAUCUUGAGCCAUCAGUCAGAUUAAAAGCAGCGCCCUGCCGGCAGCUCCUGACCUCUAUUCCUAUGGGAGAAAGAAGGUGUGGCUUUGGACCCCAAACUCUUCCAUGACGGCCUUCUUCCACUCAUUUUAUUAGCAAUCAAACCUCUUCCCUGCUCUUGCACUGAGGUAAGCAUUCAAAUAGCAAAGCAAGGGAAAAAAUAUGGUAUGUAUUUUUUUAAUCUACAUACAGAGAAAGCGGAUGUGCCCUUAUUAGCGCAGUUGAAAAUAAAAUAUAUAACGCGUAGUUGCAAGCUUUCUUUCGUGAGCUAGCUAUGUUUGCUUCCUCUUUUCCUCUCUGUUGUCGGUCACGAAAACCUUAAUAAGAAGUGAGGAGCUGAUUGAAACAUAAAAAGUGACUGAUCGUAAUCUUAGGGCAAAGAGCAGUACUCUUAUAUCAGUAUCAUCUUCCCUUUCUUUUUUUUAUUUAACUGUCGCCUUCCUUUCCUAUCAAACUUUUCUCUGGCCCAUCAUCUCGUGACAAGAACUGCUCGAAUCACAAAAAAAAAGGCAUUACCUUCUAGUUGAGCAGUAAAAUAGAAAUAAGAGCUGCUAAAACAAUAUCCUUUUUCUUAAAGUUCCUACGAUGCUAGUUUUUAAAAGGCAUAUACACUCAGAUAAUGCAGCAAGAGUUCCCCACUACCAAGUAAGCUCUUUCUACUUGUUCACCUGGAUGAAAACUACCUGGCUUUGUUUGGCUACUUUUUUUAUUGGCUAGUGUGAUUUUAUAUCUCAGGCUAAACUCGCUUGAGCUGUCUUACAUUAGUGGGGCUAUAUGUGAAUCGCAGAGGUCUGUAAAUUAAGGCAAUAGGCGGGCACAUUUGAAAUGCAGCAGUAGUGAGCUCCUAUAGAAAAUCCAAAAUUCAAUAAAAGGUCAUAAUGGUCGGAAGCUGUUCACUACUUCAGAACCAUCCAGAAGGCAAGAGAAAAAAGCACCUGAGCCGCUCUUCAUUUUAUAGGAUCUCCCAUUCGUAAAAAAUGCCGUUCCUUCCUUUUAAAGACCAAUGGGGGGUUUGGUAGGGAACUACCUCGGGAUGAAAGAUGCCUAGAUCACGAGGCUUAUUCCUAUUCCUUUUGCGAGUGCAAUACUAAUUGAAUCCACUCCCCAUGUGUGUGCUUCUGCACCUAUCCGGGAAAGAAGAGUGGUGAGAUAUGGAAUGGAAAAGGUUGGAAAAAGGGGAACUAAGAAAAGUGAAAGGCCAGGCUUGUAGCUAAGAAAUAUACUUAAUAACACGACCCCCUUACUAAGUUUGCCUUACUCGAAAGAAGCACGAGCGUCACCCUAGCCAGCAUUCUUUGGAUUUAGUAGAAUAAAAGCCAUCUUACUCUUAGUAUAGCUCAAUUCAAUGCUCUAAUAAGCUUGCGAGAAAGCCUAAGUGAAGUUCAGUCUCUUUUCCGUUUUUAAGCAAGUGACCAUAGGGCAAUGGAAAGAUCUGAUACGGCGUUAUAGGCCUUGUAGAUUGCAACUCCUUCUAAGAUAAAAAAACGUAACCACGAGGUAGAUUACGAAUAAUCCAAGCAUAUAAAUCUUAGGGCAGUAAGCUAAGGAUAGACGAAAUCCAGUAAGACAUUGAUUUUGCAAACCAUUAGUUUAUAUUUAAUUUUCUCGAUCCCCUUCUGACGGACUAAGAAUACGAGAAAGUUACCAGCCAAGACACCAAAGGCGCAUUUAGAUUUUCUGCUAUGUUUGCAAAAUGAGUACUCGUGUAGAUAUUCCCGAAUCUUCCAUAAAGAUAAGUUUGAUUCAUUAGUUAAUUCUUUUUUUCCAGGAAAUUAUGAAAUGAAAAAGAUGGACAUCGCAUCGUGGAUUUAACGUUUCAAUUUGGGCAAGAGGGCCCUGGUUAUGUCGCAAAAGACGACAUUCUAAGUUUUCCUCCUCCUCUCCGGUCUGCAUGCAAGUACCUCAGCGGAUAUUUUCCAUUAUUUGGUCACUAAUGAGCUACCUGCAGGUUUGUCAAAGGCUAAAAGGGAAAAGGCGCGCAGCGGUGAAGCCCAUUACUCUGUAUGGGAUGAUCCUUACCUUUGGCACAAGAAACUCUUAUUUGGCAUUCUGACUUUUUGAUACUUGCAAGAAGAGCUUCAGUCUUCGAAACCGCUGCGCGAAACUCAUUAUCCGGAAUGGCCCCACGGUGUUGAUGUCUAGUGCUAGACGACACGUUUUAAAUCUUAAUGCAGGCAUGGCAUAUUUCGUUGAAUCAGUCUUUUUCGCCACAUCGCGUAUAAAGGGAAUCGAACCCAACUCUUCCACUCGCUGCCAAUGCGGAUGCAUUAUAACAUGUCAAGGGAGGCGCCGAGAUAUGAUAUGACCAAAAGCCUUG